rnacentral:rRNA from 1 species
CCUACGGGUGGCAGCAGUGGGGAAUAUUGCACAAUGGGGGAAACCCUGAUGCAGCGACGCCGCGUGAGUGAAGAAGUAUUUCGGUAUGUAAAGCUCUAUCAGCAGGGAAGAAAAUGACGGUACCUGAUUAAGAAGCCCCGGCUAACUACGUGCCAGCAUCCGCGGUAAUACGUAGGGGGCAAGCGUUAACCGGAUUUACUGGGUGUAAAGGGAGCGUAGACGGCAGCACAAGGCUGGAGUGAAAUGCCGGGGCUUAACCCCGGAACUGCUGUGGAAACUGUGCAGCUAGAGUGCAGGAGAGGUAAGUGGAAUGCGUGGUGUAGCGGUGAAAUGCAUAGAUAUUAGGAGGAACACCGGUGGCGAAGGCGGCUUACUGGAGUGUAACUGACGUUGAGGCUCGAAAGCGUGGGGAGCGAACAGGAUUAGAUACCCUUGUAGUC